rnacentral:misc_RNA from 1 species
UGACUUUUAUCAAUGGAGUGAAGACGUUUGUUGUGAGAUUUGUUUCCUAUUAUUUCGCCUUCCGUCGUUUAAUUAAUUCUGUGUGAUGUAAAAUAAAUAGAUAGGAAACAAAUCUUUUUUACUUUACCAAAAGUAGCGCUCGAGAUUUUUUUCUAAGUGUCUAGAUGUAGUUUUAGUAGAAUGUUUUUCGAGCGUAUAUUGUUGUCUGUGUUCUGCCUUGGAAUAAAAGCCUUCCCCCUGGCCUCGGCUGAGGAGGUGGAGAUCAGGGAUGUAGCUGCAGACAAGGGCACUAAUGUGACCAUACCUUGUGGCAGUCUGGACAUUGUACCUCUGCCCAAUGUGCAGUGGGUGCACCGGGGCAACCGGACACACCAUGAAGUUUUGACCGACGGAAGUUUACUCCUUACAAACAUAGGCGUAGAUGAUGCGGGCCUGUACGAGUGUUCAGUAGAAAACGAGACGGCGUACGUCGACAGAGUCAACAUUACUGUGCGGACGGAGCCGCCACCGCUGGUGAACGUGACAGUCCACGCGUCCACGAUCCUGGCCCUGAUCCUGUGGAACGUGGCCGGCGAUGGCGGCCAUCCUAUCAUAGACUUCACCGCGCAGUAUCGCUCAGCUGCACCUGUGAACGGCAGCCUGGAGCCAUGGAGACCAAUCAGUCCGAACCACAUCAGUCCUAAUUCGCGCCAAGUAGACGUGUAUCACCUAGACACGAACGCAUCGUACUGGUUCCGAGUGUGGGCGACCAAUGCUCUGGGGCCUGGCCCUCCGGUAGAGGUGCUCGCCACCACUCUGUACAGCGACCAGGAGGCUGAGCUGUACAAGCACUUCUUCAGCGGCGCCGAACAGUUCGACACGCGCACGUGGGUGGCAGCCGUGUGCGUGGUGAUGGGCACGCUGCUGGUGCUGGCGGCCGGCACGUGCGCCGUGCUGUGCCGCGAGUGGCGCCGACACGGUGAGCCUGCUGUGUAGCGUCCGAUGAAGCGCCUGUACUUCUUGUGGCGCUAGGGGAAGUAGGGAGUAGGGAAUGUAGGUUGUAGGUGGCGUUGUCGACC